rnacentral:rRNA from 1 species
AUUGUACGCUGGCGGCAGGCCUAACACAUGCAAGUCGAGCGGAUGAGGAGAGCUUGCUCUCUGAUUUAGCGGCGGACGGGUGAGUAAUGCCUAGGAAUCUGCCUGGUAGUGGGGGAUAACGUUCCGAAAGGAACGCUAAUACCGCAUACGUCCUACGGGAGAAAGCAGGGGACCUUCGGGCCUUGCGCUAUCAGAUGAGCCUAGGUCGGAUUAGCUAGUUGGUGAGGUAAUGGCUCACCAAGGCGACGAUCCGUGACUGGUAUGAGAGGAUGAUCAGUCACACUGGAACUGAGACACGGUCCAGACUCCUACGGGAGGCAGCAGUGGGGAAUAUUGGACAAUGGGCGAAAGCCUGAUCCAGCCAUGCCGCGUGUGUGAAGAAGGUCUUCGGAUUGUAAAGCACUUUAAGUUGGGAGGAAGGGUUGUAGAUUAAUACUCUGCAAUUUUGACGUUACCAACAGAAUAAGCACCGGCUAACUUCGUGCCAGCAGCCGCCGUAACAC